rnacentral:piRNA from 1 species
UGUGGUUUUAAUAUUGAUAAA